GAGCCAGAGAGACGAGGAAACUGUUAAUUCAGUGAGGGAAAGUAUAUCCAGUUUCGCCUGUUAUAUGUCUCCGCUUCUCCUCACGGCUCGCGCAGGACAGAGAGAGAGAGCACGGGGUUAUUUCUACACUCAUUAAGCACCAGAGCAAUCAUAUACAACAAGGGAGAGGACGAGAGAGGCGAGGAAACAGUUGAUUCAGUGAGGGAAAGUAUGUCCAGGUUCACCGCGGCCCGCCCUGCCUGUUAUAAUAUGUCCUCGCUUCUCACGGCUCACGCAGGACAGAGAGAGUGAACACGGGGUUAUUUCUACACUCAUUAAGCACCAGAUCAAUCAUAUACAACAAGUGGGAGAGCCAGAGAGACGAGGAAACAGAUAAUUCAGUGAGGGAAAAUAUAUCCAGGUUCACCGCGGCCCGCCCUGCCUGUUAUAAUAUGUCCUCGCUUCUCACGGCUAACUCAGGACAGAGAGAGAGAGCACGGGGAUGUUUUUAUACGCAUUAAGCACCAGAUCAAUCAUAUACAACAAGUGGGAGAGCCAGAGAGACGAGGAAACUGUUAAUUCAAUGAGGGAAAGUAUAUCCAGGUUCACCUCCCUGCCUGUUAUAUGUCUUCGCUUCUCACGGCUAACCCAGGACAGAGAGAGUGAGCACGGGGUUGUUUUUAUACGCAUUAAGCACCAGAUCAAUCAUAUACAACAAGUGGGAGAGCCAGAGAGACGAGGAAACUGUUAAUUCAGUGAGGGAAAGUAUAUCCAGGUUCACCUCCCUGCCUGUUAUAUGUCUUCGCUUCUCACGGCUCACCCAGGACAGAGAGAGAGAACACGGGGAUGUUUCUACACUCAUUAAGCACCAGAUCAAUCAUAUACAACAAGUGGGAGAGCCAGAGAGACGAGGAAACAGAUAAUUCAGUGAGGGAAAGUAUAUCCAGUUUCGCCUGUUAUAUGUCUCCGCUUCUCCUCACGGCUCACGCAGGGAAGAGAGAGAGAGCACGGGGAUGUUUCUACACUCAAUAAGCACCAGAACAAUCAUAUACAACAAGUGGGAGAGCCAGAGAGACGAGGAAACAGUUAAUUCAGUGAGGGAAAGUAUAUCCAGGUUCACCGCGGCCCGCCCUGCCUGUUAUAAUAUGUCCUCGCUUCUCACGGCUAACCCAGGACAGAGAGAGAGCACGGGGUUGUUUCUACACUCAUUAAGCACCAGAUCAAUCAUAUACAACAAGUGGGAGAGCCAGAGAGACGAGGAAACAGAUAAU